GAAUAGAUAAAAGUAGGUAAGCUUUAAAAUACCUUCAACUUCCAUUGAAAUAUUAAAAGUAAAUCCUUAAAAGGAUUAAAAAAAGUCUUCCCACUCUGUCCAGAUUGAAUUCUGAAGUGGCUGCAAUUUAAAUACUUAGAAAUAUGCUACAAUGUGUGUUGAAUGUCUUUAACUUUACUAGCUUCAAAAUAUACUACAAAUUGAAAUACUAGUCUAAAGAAAAAAAGAUUUUCAAAAAUCUAAUAGUAAGCAUUUAAAUAUUGCUAGUAUACACUUGCAAUACUGGACUUAGAGAACAGAUUAAAGAUCAAAUAUUAGUUUAUGAUUCUUUAUCCCUUGCUGUUGCCAAAAUGAGUAUCAACUACCAGCUAUAAAAAUUUCAGCUUGCACCCCACAGCUCUGUCAUAGACGUUCAGCUCAAAUCAGUACAGUGCAUUCAAAAAGCCAGCAUAAAAUAAUUAAACUUUAUUAGAAAGGACACUUAAAAUGUAACCUUUUUCCAUUAAGUCUAAGAACCUAAAGGUGAGCAGGUGUUUACAUAAAACAUUAGCUGUUCUUUGCAUUUUUAAGUCUCAAAUUUGUAUCGAAAAAUCUUUUGUACAGCAGUUCCCAAACAGUGAAAUUUCUAAAUUCUACACUGUGCACACAUCUGAAAUUUUCACCAGUAAAAGGAGACAAGUGGUAAGCUCCUACAUUAGAUGUGGCUAGAUAUCUAGUAGUCUGAAGGUUAGAGCUAUGCAGAAAGUUCAGGACAGCAGGGAAUGAACAAUAAGGCUUACAACUGAAUUAUGCAGUAAUAACCUGUAUAGAUGAAUGCUUAAUAACUUCUACUGAUUUACAAACAUUUCCAUCAACCAGAAUAGUAAGGUUUAAGACGAAGAUUUAGAAUCUGUAGAAUCUGGAUACAAAAGUAACAAAUCUGCAUAAAUUCCACUAGUGUACAAAAGAUUUAGAAAACUAUGUAUGUGGUAAAAAUAAUCAUGUACAACGGCCUAUUCUUGUGGUGAGUUAUACACUCUCAGCUUAAAUUCCUUUAUCUAUGCAUGAAGCAUUUAAAAACAAGACACCUGACCCUGAUGUAAUCAACCUAGCUUCUGUUUAUCUCACUGGAAAUGAAUUCUGCUCUGUUGAUGUCCAUUUACGUAAUCUUAAACUCACCACUUAUGAUAGGUCAAAUCUUUUGGCCCUGGAGAUGCUGAUUUGUCUCCUACUGUGCAGGGAGUAUAGGAUGACUAGCUCAAUUUGGCAUCUUGAAGUUAAGUGAUAUUUAUCAUAUUUUUUUAUCUUACCAAUUCAAGCCAUUUAACUGUAUUAUCUAGCUUUUGGUACUGAAGGGCAAACAGUAUUUGAAUAAAAUAUUGGAAAAUACAAACUUCAGUGUUCUCUGAAUCAUCCCCAAUUGUUUUUUGUCUUUUUUAUUUAAUUUACCACCUAAAAGCAGUAUCAAAGAGUACGUUUAAGAAACACUGUCUCUGAGCCCGUGCUUGUAGGCAUUAAUAGAGAAUCUGUGGAAUGCACAGUGCAAUUGACUGGUAAAAUAAAUCUGGAGAAGAAAAACUUAAAUUCACCUACCUAUCUCCUUUGCUGAUUUGAAUAAUUAAUUACAGAUUAAUCCCCUACCUUCAUGUAACUUUGCCAUCAUUUCAAAAACUUGGUGUGUGUUCUUCCGACAGAUAUCUACUGGAUCAUCCAUGAGCUCAGCGAGGGCAGAAACUUCUUUAUUGCAUCCCGCAAUAUUCAGUAAAUUCUGGAAUUAUACCUACCUGCCGACAUUAUGCAUUGCCAUUAUACAGAGGAUUUCUGUUGUUUUUUGUCGUACAGUACUGUCAUGAUGCAGCAGCAAAUUCUUCAGGUUCUCCACGAAUCCUUUGAGACACAGUAGUUGAUUUUAGUAUUUCUUACCUUCAGCAUUAGUUUAAAAGAGCAGCACUUGUUUUUACCUCACAAUUUAAGUGCAAGCAAUCAGAAAUUUCAUCUUGUUCUGUAGGUGAAACUCUCAAUGUCGUACUACAAGUACAGCAGAAACUUAAAGACCUACUGUCAAAAUGCCAUGCCAUCAAUCCUCAACGAUCUUAAUAUUAAAAUGUAUAUAACUACCCCCAAAUAACUGGCUGAUUUGACAGCUAGUGAGGAUAGAAGAAAGUUCCCACUGACUUAAUUUUGUGUUGGAUAAUGCUGCGAACCACCUGGGGGUGGCGGAAAGGAGGAGGGCUACCAAUUCUUCUCUGCUCCACAAUAACUAAAAACUUUUUUCCUCUUUCUGAAUAUUUUUUAUAUUUUAUUUGAUCUAUCUUAAAAUUUAGCUAGACAACAAGAAAAAAGGUUCAGUGAUUCUGCACUACUUUUGUAUUUGGGGAGUAAUAGACCCUGUGGUGAGCAUCUGAUAAAUUCUAAAGUGAGUAUACUCUUAAAAUAGCUGUUAUAUGGUAUUAUAACAUGCUUUACCUUUUAAAGUAAAAUAAGCAAGAAAUCAAACCCCCAAAACUUUCAUGGCUUUUUUCUGUCAUCAAAGAUAUCGCAGGGAAAAAAAUAGGGCACAAGAGUAAAGUGUCCCUCCCCUCAGCCAUCACCACCAUGUCAAAGCUUCCGAUACCAGACCACUUACCUAUUUGUAUUGCCUGGUAGACUUUUUCUGGGUCAUGGACCAAAUCACAGAGUGCCAUCAAUGCCCGCUGCUGAGUCAGCAGCUCAGGAGAUUGGAUCUCCUCGUUCAG